ensembl:lncRNA
CCGGAGUCAAGCGUGAAGUGGACCGCAGGACUGGCUAGUAACCCCUUCCCCUCCUCGGCGAAACUGGAGUCUGGGCUCCCUGCUUCGACCGGCGCCUUGCCAGGAGACGACCCAACUUGCGCCACCGGGUCCACCAAGUGCAUCCAUAGGCCUCUGAACAUUGCCACAGCGCCCGACAGGUACCGGCCACCAACCAGUCUCGCCGCCUGGACCCUCUCAUCCACCUGCAGCGGGCACCAGGAGCUCCAGGGGCCCAGGGAUGGAUGCACUGAUCCGCAAGGCCCGCCGCGCCUCCUCCCCAAAUCUUCAGCCUUCAAACUUGGCCAACUCUCCAAGCCAACCUCCGGGCUACCGCCGCAGGACCGAGCCUCCCUCCCUCCUUCUUACGGCGGCGACGGCUCGGAGCUCUACCGAGGCAAGAACUUUACAAGGUGAAAAGUUUCCCCCACGCGCUCUGCCGGCUUUCGCCUCCCGGAGCCCACCUCUCAGCCCAUUUGCACCCGGCAGCUGGAGCUGUGGUCCGGCAGACGCGCUCCAGCCGGUGCGCCCGGCAGCCAAAUAAUCACGCUAAAAAUCCCCCACGCACCCUUGCCUCCGCCGGCGAUCCACGGUUCUACCAGGCGCUUCCCCCGUGGUCUUCCUCUCCGGGCGCUCCUGGCCAGGGCGAACCGGCCACCCGGCCGCUGCCGCCGCAGUGCCCGCCGCGCGCUCGCCGGGACCAGAGCCGCGAGCAGAGGCGCUCGGCGCUCGGGACGCCGCCGCCGCCGCGGGGGCUCGCAGGCGGAGGAGGGGAGCCGGGAGGAGGAGAACGGCAGCGGGAGGAGGGGGACGGGGGCGCGAGAUCCCGGUCCGCAACCCAGAUCACAGCGCAGCCUGCCGGGAGGAGCGCCGGCUCUUGUGGCUGCUCCGAGCUGCCGCCGCCGCCGCUACUGCUCGCCGCCUCGCGGCUCCCAGCUCCCCAUCACCGUCGACGCCGACGCACAGCCAAGCCCCUCUCUCGAGUCUCCCCCUCUCGCUUCUCUCGCGCUGUCUCCUCCUCCCAAACCGCGAGCGAAAAGGGCGAGGGGGAGAGAAGCCUCGGCGUCCAGGAUGACUAGCGAUCUCGGAGUGCGGCGCGGGGGAGAGGGGGCGGGCGAGGAGGGGGAAUCUGGGGGAGGCGCGGCGAGCCGUAGGGCGCUCCCGGCGCCGGGCCUGGAAGCCGGACUAAUUUUAGAGCUGGAGUCUUCCUCCAGCCGUCUCUCUCGGGGCUCGAGAAUAACACCAGCUUGCCUUCCUGCCGCGGGCAGAGCGUGCUGCCGGCUUCAGAAUGCUUACAUACACCGCUUUCACUCCGACCGGCACCACAGCCCCGCGCAGAGGUCGAGCACGUGCUACUCUCCUAGGACAGAGAAGGAAACUGAGGCACAUCGCAGUUAAAAUGGCUUAUCUAAGAUCCCAAGCUUUCUAAGGCAUUGAGAAGUUUAUUACCAUAUAAAUAUGUCCCUGGCAUGGCAUUUUCCUGUGAUCAACAGAAUGCAGCUAACUGUGCAUCUGAGACUUUAAUGAAUCAGUGUAUUUCCCACCUGAGUGCUUCUGCCAGCGUGUUGAAACAAGUUGGCUCCUGAAACCAGAUCUGUUCGUCGCUUUUCCAGCUGCUGCUCAGCACCAGCUCCCACGACUUCAUGCAGACCCACCCUGACCAUGCCUGGCUUCAGACCAACAACAAGGGAUCCACCUGGUGUCCACGCAUGUGCAACCCCAAAGUGCAGGAGAAUUAACACUCUGUGUUGUAAAUUUU